rnacentral:rRNA from 1 species
CGGCGGACGGGUGAGUAACGCGUGGGUAACCUGCCUCAUACAGGGGGAUAACAGUUGGAAACGGCUGCUAAUACCACAUAAGCGCACAGUACCGCAUGGUACGGUGUGAAAAACUCCGGUGGUAUGAGAUGGACCCGCGUCUGAUUAGGUAGUUGGUGGGGUAACGGCCUACCAAGCCGACGAUCAGUAGCCGACCUGAGAGGGUGACCGGCCACAUUGGGACUGAGACACGGCCCAA